rnacentral:tRNA from 2 species
GUGAAAUAGUGUAUUUGGUAGCACGUUAGGCUCAUGACCUGAUAGAGAAUUGUUCGAAUCAAUUCUUUCGCA